rnacentral:rRNA from 1 species
UAGAGUUUGAUCAUGGCUCAGAACGAACGCUGGCGGCACGCUUAACACAUGCAAGUCAAGUAGAAAGGGUUUCGGCCUGAGUAUACUGGCGCACGGGUGAGUAAUGCCUAGGGAUCUGCCUGGUAGUGGGGGACAACGUUUCGAAAGGAACGCUAAUACCGCAUACGUCCUACGGGAGAAAGUGGGGGAUCUUCGGACCUCACGCUAUCAGAUGAGCCUAGGUCGGAUUAGCUAGUUGGUGAGGUAAAGGCUCACCAAGGCGACGAUCCGUAACUGGUCUGAGAGGAUGAUCAGUCACACUGGAACUGAGACACGGUCCAGACUCCUACGGGAGGCAGCAGUGGGGAAUAUUGGACAAUGGGCGAAAGCCUGAUCCAGCCAUGCCGCGUGUGUGAAGAAGGUCUUCGGAUUGUAAAGCACUUUAAGUUGGGAGGAAGGGCAGUAAGUUAAUACCUUGCUGUUUUGACGUUACCAACAGAAUAAGCACCGGCUAACUUCGUGCCAGCCGCCGCGGUAAUUCA